rnacentral:rRNA from 1 species
AUUACUCCUACGGGAGGCAGCAGUGGGGAAUAUCGCACAAUGGGCGCAAGCCUGAUGCAGCCAUGCCGCGUGUAUGAAGAAGGCCUUCGGGUUGUAAAGUACUUUCAGCGGGGAGGAAGGGAGUAAAGUUAAUACCUUUGCUCAUUGACGUUACCCGCAGAAGAAGCACCGGCUAACUCCGUGCCAGCAGCCGCGGUAAUAAU